rnacentral:miRNA from 1 species
AAGAGAGCUAUCCGUGGACAGU